GAUGAACGCUAGCUACAGGCUUAACACAUGCAAGUCGAGGGGAAACGAUGAGAGAGCUUGCUCUCUUAGGCGUCGACCGGCGCACGGGUGAGUAACGCGUAUCCAACCUACCCAUUACAGGGGGAUAACCUUGCGAAAGUAAGACUAAUACCCCAUGGCAUUUUAUGGUGGCAUCAUUAUAGGAUUAAAGAUUUAUUGGUAAUGGAUGGGGAUGCGUCUGAUUAGCUUGUUGGCGGGGUAACGGCCCACCAAGGCAACGAUCAGUAGGGGUUCUGAGAGGAAGGUCCCCCACAUUGGAACUGAGACACGGUCCAAACUCCUACGGGAGGCAGCAGUAAGGAAUAUUGGUCAAUGGGCGAGAGCUUGAACCAGCCAAGUAGCGUGCAGGAUGACGGCCCUAUGGGUUGUAAACUGCUUUUAUAGGGGAAUAAAGUGAGCUACGUGUAGUUUAUUGCAUGUACCCUAUGAAUAAGGACCGGCUAAUUCCGUG
rnacentral:rRNA from 1 species